CAGGGAAUCUUGCGCAAUGGGCGAAAGCCUGACGCAGCAACGCCGCGUGGGGGAUGAAGGCCUUCGGGUUGUAAACCCCUUUCAGGAGGGAAGAAAUUGACGGUACCUCCAAAAGAAGGACCGGCCAACUACGUGCCAGCAGCCGCGGUAAUACGUAGGGUCCGAGCGUUAUCCGGAAUCAUUGGGCGUAAAGAGCUCGUAGGCGGUUCAGCAAGUCGGCUGUGAAAGUCCGGGGCUCAACCCCGGAAUUGCAGUCGAUACUGCUGUGACUCGAGUCCGGUAGAGGAGAACGGAAUUCCCGGUGUAGCGGUGAAAUGCGCAGAUAUCGGGAGGAACACCAGUAGCGAAGGCGGUUCUCUGGGCCGGCACUGACGCUGAGGAGCGAAAGCGUGGGGAGCAAACAGGAUUAGAUACCC
rnacentral:rRNA from 1 species